rnacentral:rRNA from 1 species
UACGAGUGCCCCAAGCGUUAUCCGGAAUUACUGGGCGUAAAGCGUGUGUAGGCGGCGUGAUUAGUCUUUGGUCAAAGCUCCCGGCUUAACCGGGAAAAGGCCGGAGAAACGGUCACACUAGAGGGGGCGAAAGGUCUAUGGAACUCAUGGUGUAGGAGUGAAAUCCGUUGAGAUCAUGGGGAACACCGAAAGCGAAGGCAAUAGACUGGCGCCUUACUGACGCUGCAACACGAAAGCGUGGGGAUCAAACGGG